ensembl:lncRNA
AUGUUCAAGUCUCAAAUUGAUCUGCCUAGAGGGAAAAGACAUUUCAUGUCAACACCUGCAACCUGUGUGAACAUAACAGAUUUUCAGAUGUAUGUCCUGCCUAAACCAUCCCUUGUCACUCCAAAAGGCUCAGAAGACCUAGAGUUUGCACAUGCAGGCCUGGGUAAAAGACUUCUGAGUCUUCCAGACAACUUUCAACAGAGAUUGUUUCUCAGCUUGAGGAUGAAUUUCCAAAAUUGAAAAGUCUACAAGGAGGUUGGAUGUUUUACAAAUCGACAGGUGGUGGUGGGCAGCGUAAGCUGUCAGUUAUUACAGUCACUGCCAUAUGAUUCAGUUGAAUUCUCAAAGAUGCCACAGGCAAACUGCAUGAAGUGUGCCACAAAAAUACCACUGCAGUUGUCUAAAUCUAUGAAAUGUUAGGAGUAGUGAAGUUUAUCCCAACUCCAAAUUAUUUAUUAUAUCCUUAAUAUAUAGCUGUUCUCGCAUCCAGUUAGGUUUUCUUAUGUCUUACUAUCAGCCAUGAUCAUUCUACUCUGCUAAUUAAAAGGAUGUUUAUAUGCAUAUUACCCCCCAAAAAAAAUCCACAUGAAGUGUCGAAAUCAUGCAGUCCGUGACGGACAUAUUGUUAACGUCUGGUCUAUGUGGUAAUAGUAUAUCGGGCAGGACAUCCAUAUGCUCACCUAACAUUCAUCGACCUUAAAUAUGGUUUAUCAUCUGAGAUAUGUAUGUAGUAGCAACUUUACAAGGCAGCUCAGUCUAAUGUUAGCCUAGAAAAAAGUUAACGUUUGUGUGGAGUGUGAAGCUGAACAGUAGCGCGUCUUUGACAGAUGGAGGCACCGCUGCGAUUAUUUGCUCUUAAAAUACUUUGUCAUUUUUGGUCAUACAGAUAAGAGUAAUUCAUCUUUUGUAUCUGUAAAGACUCUACAUUUAUUCGUGUGCACUCAGUAUAACAACGAAACGUUGCGCUAAAAAUAAUGAAAUCAAACAUGAUGUGCUUUCUGCCGUCUUGGACUCUGUGAACUUGAGCGUGUCACUUCACUUGUCACCCGAUGCUUGACUUAUUACAGGCGCAUACAGCGGAGAUGACGAGUCAGUGUUGCCGACUUCAUCUCUUAAACCAAAAACAGAAAGCACUAGUUUAACAAUAAAUUAUUAAAACGUUAAUGCA